GGGGAUGUGACGAAGUGGUAUCGUGCUUCAUUUGCAAUCUGAAUUCUAGUACUUAAAACUGGAAGACAGUUUCCAAAGCUUGAAGAAAUCCUGGGUUCGAUCCCCAGCAUCUCCA